rnacentral:rRNA from 1 species
AUUGAACGCUGGCGGCAUGCCUUACACAUGCAAGUCGAACGGCAGCACGGGAGCAAUCCUGGUGGCGAGUGGCGAACGGGUGAGUAAUAUAUCGGAACGUGCCCAGUCGUGGGGAUAACGUAGCGAAAGCUACGCUAAUACCGCAUACGAUCUAUGGAUGAAAGCGGGGGAUCGCAAGACCUCGCGCGAUUGGAGCGGCCGAUAUCAGAUUAGGUAGUUGGUGAGGUAAAGGCUCACCAAGCCGACGAUCNGUAGCUGGUCUGAGAGGACGACCAGCCACACUGGGACUGAGACACGGCCCAGACUCCUACGGGAGGCAGCAGUGGGGAAUUUUGGACAAUGGCGC